GCCAACGUAGCUCAGCGGUAGAGCAGCCGAUUCGUAAUCGGCAGGUCGUCGGUUCAAAUCCGACCGUUGGCUCCA
rnacentral:tRNA from 1 species